AAAGCAAUAUUGCAAUUUAACUGUGUAACAUAUGUGUGUGUAUGUAUAUUUAAGUUUAUCUGUGAAUGUACUUACAUUGGGAUCUGUGUAAUAAUGUGUUUAUAUUAACAUACAUAUCUCUAAACAUAUGUAUGUGUGUUUGUAUUUGUGAUUACUUACAUCGAUAUCAGAUUAAGCCAAAGUGCAAUCGACCAUCAACAAUUGCAAACGCUAUAAUAAUAAUAAUAAUAAUAACAAAAACAAAAACAAUAGCGACUCUACACUAAAUUCCAAACACCAGCAAUAACAACCACAGAAGCAGCAACAUUAAAGCCAAGAUCAACUCGUGUACAUAUAUCAAACGGUAUUGUUUUCAUUGCGAUAAUAAGUUAUAUAUAUUUUUGGGGACGUACGUCUUCACGUACGUACGCAGCAUUGAGUCGACAGACAAGCACGCCAACCGAAAAACAUACAUCAAUGACAGUAGCGCUGCAGAGACUAUUCAUUUGAUUGCGUACUGCCACAAACGGUCUCCAAGCUUUUUGGUUGGCUAUUAGCUGUUGGCUUUGGUGGGUGCGUUAUUGCUGCUAAGAUUUUGCUUCACUUUUGCUUUUAUUUCCCGUUGAUAUUUAAUAUGGAUCGUGCUAGUGUUAUAAUGCAAGCAUUUAAUUCCUCAACAUGAUACAGUUUAAGAUAAUUGCCAAUGAAAGAAAGAGAAAAAACAAAAAAAAACCUAAAAUACGAACCACUACCUAUACUGAUGCCAUUUUGCUCCUUUCUUCCCCGACUAACGAAAU